ACUAUUCUCUCAUCCAUGGCUUUCAUAAAAUUUUUCAUGUCAUCAAACUUUUCAGUCAGAGCAUUAAUGAUGGCUGCUAUAUUAGGAUCCAUAUUGGUGUUGGAUGGAGAAGUAGGAUGUUGGUACCAGGUACCUGAUCUAGUGGUCAUGCAACUCUAAGAUGCAGAAAUAAGGUGCAAUAAAAAUUAAAAUGCUUGAAAGUAAAGUAUGAAAUUUAGAGUGUGAAAAUUUAA
rnacentral:lncRNA from 1 species